AACGAACGCUGGCGGCAGGCUUAACACAUGCAAGUCGAGCGCUCCGCAAGGGGAGCGGCAGACGGGUGAGUAACGCGUGGGAAUCUACCCAUCACUACGGAACAACUCCGGGAAACUGGAGCUAAUACGGUAUACGUCCUUCGGGCGAAAGAUUUAUCGGCGAUGGAUGAGCCCGCGUGGGAUUGGCGAGUUGGUGGGGUAAUGGCCCACCAAGGCGACGAUCGAUAGCUGGUCUGAGAGGAUGAUCAGCCACACUGAGACUGAGACACGGCCCAGACUCCUACGGGAGGCAGCAGUGGGGAAUAUUGGACAAGGGGCGCAAGCCUGAUCCAGCCAUGCCGCGUGAGUGAUGAAGGCCCUAGGGUUGUAAAGCUCUUUCACCGGUGAAGAUAAUGACGGUAACCGGAGAAGAAGCCCCGGCUAACUUCGUGCCAGCAGCCGCGGUAA
rnacentral:rRNA from 1 species